AGUUGAUCAUGGCUCAGGAUGAACGCUAGCUACAGGCUUAACACAUGCAAGUCGAGGGGCAGCAUGAGCUUAGCUUGCUAAGCUUGAUGGCGACCGGCGCACGGGUGAGUAACGCGUAUCCAACCUUCCCCUUAGUAGGGCAUAGCCCGGUGAAAAUCGGAUUAAUACCCUAUGUUCUUCACAGCGGACAUCUAACGUGAAGCAAAGGUUCACCGCUAAGGGAUGGGGAUGCGUCUGAUUAGGUAGUCGGCGGGGUAACGGCCCACCGAGCCAUCGAUCAGUAGGGGUUCUGAGAGGAAGGUCCCCCACAUUGGAACUGAGACACGGUCCAAACUCCUACGGGAGGCAGCAGUGAGGAAUAUUGGUCAAUGGGUGCGAGCCUGAACCAGCCAAGUAGCGUGCAGGAAGACGGCCCUAUGGGUUGUAAACUGCUUUUAUGCGGGGAUAAAGUCACCCACGUGUGGGUGUUUGCAGGUACCGCAUGAAUAAGGACCGGCUAAUUCCGUGCCAGCCGCAGC
rnacentral:rRNA from 1 species